UACGUAGGGGGCAAGCGUUGUUCGGAAUUACUGGGCGUAAAGGGCGCGUAGGCGGCCUUCUAAGUCGAACGUGAAAUCCCUGGGCUCAACCCAGGAACUGCGUCCGAUACUGGAAGGCUUGAAUCCGGGAGAGGGAUGCGGAAUUCCAGGUGUAGCGGUGAAAUGCGUAGAUAUCUGGAGGAACACCGGUGGCGAAGGCGGGUCUCUGGGCAGUAACUGACGCUGAGGAGCGAAAGCGUGGGGAGCGAACAGG
rnacentral:rRNA from 1 species